CUCUAGGAUUUUGAAAACCCCCUUUCGUAUUGCAAGAGUUCUUCAUGGCACUCUUGAUUUACCCAAUGCUGUUGGAAAAGAUUGGAUCAGAAGUUUCUAUUUGAAGAAAGCCACACUCAUUUUCUGCACUGCCUCUACUGCUUCUUCGUUGCAAAAUUACGAGAUGGAUCCGUUGGAAGCGUUAGUUGUCGAUGAAGCAGCGCAAUCGAAGGAAUGUGAGUCAGUUAUUGCAUUUCGAAUCAAAGGGAUAAAACAUGAUGUUCUUAUCGGGGAUGAGCGACUGUUGCCUUCUAUUGUAAAGAGCAAGGUCUCUGAUGCAGCUGGAUUUGGAAGAAGUCUUUUUGAAAGGACUGAUAUACGCAUCCUAAACAACAAUAGACUUUUGUCGUGACAGAGAAAUACAAUCCGGCAACAUGGAUGCUAGAAGCAAGCUCAAUUGCCGCUGAAGUUCGAUUGGGAAUUGAUUUUGCCGAGCACUACAAGUCCUCACAGUUGUACCAGUGAAAUAAAGCGCUUGUUAAGGAGCUAAGCACUCCUGCCCCAGGAGCCAAAGAUAUCUAUUUCCCCACACAAUACUCUCAGUCUACUUUCGGGCAGUUCAAAUCAUGCCUUUGGAAUCAAUGGUUGACAUAUUGGAGAAGCCUUGACUAUAACCUUGCCCGAUACUACUUCACCUUAGUUGUUGCCCUCAUGCUUGGCAUGAUCUUUUUUGCGGGUUGGCACAAAAAGGGAAAAUGCAAAUGAUCUAACCAUCAUUAUUGGAGCCAUGUACGCAUCCAUUCUGUUUGUUGGCAUCAACAAUUGCUCGACCAUGCAACCAAUUGUAGCCAUCGAAAGGACAUUGUUUUACCGAGAAAGAGAAGGCGUCCAGGUGAGAAUGUAUUGGGAGACCUUCAUGAAGGAAGGGAAUUAGAAGCCGGGUAAUGUCCUUUUGGAAGGGAAUUGAGAAAGGAGAUUUUAACAUUCCAUGUCUCAUUCACUCCUGUCAUGUCCACAAACUCAGAAAUCCAGAUUUAAUAUACUGUCAUGAAGGUUUAAGAGUAAUAAAAAACUGCAUUGGAGCAAUUUAAAUGCAUUUAACACUUGAUUAUGUUGUGCAGACAAUGAUGUUGAAUGAAAAAAAAUCCAGAGUCUUAAUGCUCUCCAAUCAGCUAUGAAGAAUGCAGAGGAAUAUCUGUCGAGGCUCCCUCCGGAGACACCCUAUUCAGAGUUUGAUGACAAGCACUGAAGAUGCCUAUUUUCCUUUUUACUUUCACCCCAUGGGUCAUUUUCCCAAUCUAAUGUUCUGGGGUUGCCCAAUACUGGGGACCAGAUAUAUUCCCUUUUAAAGACUGCAUCUACUCUUUCACCUCUAGAAUGUCAUUUUGCUGAGUUGUUUUUUCUGCAGGUUGUUUAUAUUUUGGAUCAAGUUCGUGCAUUGGAGCAUGAGAUGCUUCUCAGAAAAAAGCAGCAAGGCCUUGAUAUCAUGCCUCAAAUUCUCAUUGUGACUGGACUACUACCUGAUGUAGUCGGUACUACUUGCAAUCAACAUCUUGAGAAAGUACUUGGAGCAGAUCAUGCAAGCAUUCUGCGUGUUCCAUUCAGAAUGGAGAAGGGAAUUCUCCAGACUUAUAUGGAGUUUGCUGGUAAUGAGAAUGGCAUCACUGCAUUUCAGAUGGAAGGUCAAGACAAAUCAAAUCAAUAGAACUCAGUUUCUUCAGGAGAUGCUUUGUUUCUUGUGCAUUGGAAAGACAGGUAUCUUGUUCCUGCUGACUUAACAGUGGGGCAAUUUGUUUACGUGAUUCGAAAGAGGAUGAAUCUAACCCAUGAGAAGGCCAUUUUCAUCUUUGUGAAGAAUAUUUUCCCACUCCCUGCUUCACCCCAAUUUCUAUGAUGCCUGGUCAAAUUUAGCUAGUGCAUAUAUGAGGAAAGAAUGACUUAAUGAGGCAGCCCAGUGUUGUCGCCAGGCUCUUGCAUUGAACCCUCGCUUGGUUGAUGCUCAUAGCAACCUUGGUAAUCUGAUGAAGGCACAAGGCUUAGUACAAGAAGUAAGUCACAGUGGAUUCGAUACAUUAUUUUCAUUGGAUGUUCUUAAAGACUUGAAGUAGAAUUCGAGAACCAUGAUCCAUGACUGGACUGCACUGGGUUGUGCAGUUGUUCUAGUAAUUGGAUGGAU